rnacentral:rRNA from 1 species
UCCUGGCUCAGGAUGAACGCUGGCGGCGUGCUUAACACAUGCAAGUCGAACGAAGCACUUUACAAUUGAUUCUUCGGAUGAGAGAGUUUGUGACUGAGUGGCGGACGGGUGAGUAACGCGUGGGUAACCUGCCUCAUACAGGGGGAUAACAGUUAGAAAUGACUGCUAAUACCGCAUAAGCGCACAGUUUCGCAUGAAACGGUGUGAAAAACUCCGGUGGUGUGAGAUGGACCCGCGUCUGAUUAGCUUGUUGGCGGGGUAACGGCCCACCAAGGCGACGAUCGGUAGCCGGCCUGAGAGGGUGAACGGCCACAUUGGGACUGAGACACGGCCCAAACUCCUACGGGAGGCAGCAGUGGGGAAUAUUGCACAAUGGGGGAAACCCUGAUGCAGCGACGCCGCGUGAGUGAAGAAGUAUUUCGGUACGUAAAGCUCUAUCAGCAGGGAAGAAAAUGACGGUACCUGACUAAGAAGCACCGGCUAAAUACGUG